UAUAUUUUAGUAUAUGAUGUACAUAAAUUUUUGAAAUUUAACGAAAUAGUUUAAUUCUAUUAAGUAUAG
rnacentral:tRNA from 1 species